rnacentral:rRNA from 1 species
AACGAACGCUGGCGGCAUGCCUAACACAUGCAAGUCGAACGAAGGCUUCGGCCUUAGUGGCGCACGGGUGCGUAACGCGUGGGAAUCUGCCCUUUGGUUCGGAAUAACAGCUGGAAACGGCUGCUAAUACCGGAUGAUGACGAAAGUCCAAAGAUUUAUCGCCAGAGGAUGAGCCCGCGUUGGAUUAGGUAGUUGGUGGGGUAAAGGCCUACCAAGCCGACGAUCCAUAGCUGGUCUGAGAGGAUGAUCAGCCACACUGGGACUGAGACACGGCCCAGACUCCGACGGGAGGCAGCAGUGGGGAAUAUUGGACAAGGGGCGCAAGCCUGAUCCAGCAAUGCCGCGUGAGUGAUGAAGGCCCUAGGGUUGUAAAGCUCUUUUACCCGGGAAGAUAAUGACUGUACCGGGAGAAUAAGCCCCGGCUAACUCCGUG